rnacentral:rRNA from 1 species
CAGGCCUAACACAUGCAAGUCGAACGGUAACAGGGAGCUUGCUCCGCUGACGAGUGGCGAACGGGUGAGUAAUGUAUCGGAACGUACCAUUCAGUGGGGGAUAACGUAGCGAAAGUUACGCUAAUACCGCAUAUUCUGUGCGCAGGAAAGCAGGGGAUCGCAAGACCUUGCGCUGAUUGAGCGGCCGAUAUCAGAUUAGCUAGUUGGUGAGGUAAAAGCUCACCAAGGCGACGAUCUGUAGCGGGUCUGAGAGGAUGAUCCGCCACACUGGAACUGAGACACGGUCCAGACUCCUACGGGAGGCAGCAGUGGGGAAUUUUGGACAAUGGGGGCAACCCUGAUCCAGCCAUGCCGCGUGAGUNAAGAGGGCCUUCGGGUUGUAAAGCUCUUUCAGCCGGGAAGAAAAUGCAUGGGUUAAUACCCUGUGCAGAUGACGGUACCGGAAUAAGAAGCACCGGCUAACUACGUGCCAGCAGCCGCGGUAAUACGUAGGGUGCGAGCGUUAAUCGGAAUUACUGGGCGUAAAGCGUGCGCAGGCGGUUUUGUAAGACAGGCGUGAAAUCCCCGGGCUUAACCUGGGAACUGCGUUUGUGACUGCAAGGCUAGAAUACGGCAGAGGGGGGUGGAAUUCCACGUGUAGCAGUGAAAUGCGUAGAGAUGUGGAGGAACACCAAUGGCGAAGGCAGCCCCCUGGGUCGAUACUGACGCUCAUGCACGAAAGCGUGGGUAGCAAACAGGAUUAGAUACCCUGGUAGUCCACGCCCUAAACGAUGUCAACUAGGUGUUGGGAGGGUAAAACCUUUUAGUACCGUAGCUAACGCGAGAAGUUGACCGCCUGGGGAGUACGGCCGCAAGGUUAAAACUCAAAGGAAUUGACGGGGACCCGCACAAGCGGUGGAUGAUGUGGAUUAAUUCGAUGCAACGCGAAAAACCUUACCUACCCUUGACAUGUCAGGAACUUUCCAGAGAUGGAUUGGUGCCCGAAAGGGAGCCUGAACACAGGUGCUGCAUGGCUGUCGUCAGCUCGUGUCGUGAGAUGUUGGGUUAAGUCCCGCAACGAGCGCAACCCUUGUCGUUAAUUGCCAUCAUUUAGUUGGGCACUUUAACGAGACUGCCGGUGACAAACCGGAGGAAGGUGGGGAUGACGUCAAGUCCUCAUGGCCCUUAUGGGUAGGGCUUCACACGUCAUACAAUGGUCGGUACAAAGGGUCGCCAACCCGCGAGGGGGAGCCAAUCCCAUAAAGCCGAUCGUAGUCCGGAUUGUAGGCUGCAACUCGCCUGCAUGAAGUCGGAAUCGCUAGUAAUCGUGGAUCAGCAUGUCACGGUGAAUACGUUCCCGGGUCUUGUACACACCGCCCGUC